UACGUAGGGUGCGAGCGUUAAUCGGAAUUACUGGGCGUAAAGUGUGCGCAGGCGGCCGAGCAAGUCGAGUGUGAAAGCCCCGAGCUUAACUUGGGAAUUGCGCUCGAAACUACGUGGCUCGAGUGUGGCAGAGGAAGGUGGAAUUCCACGUGUAGCGGUGAAAUGCGUAGAGAUGUGGAGGAACACCGAUGGCGAAGGCAGCCUUCUGGGCCAACACUGACGCUCAUGCACGAAAGCGUGGGGAGCAAACAGG
rnacentral:rRNA from 1 species